GUAUUUAAGUGCAUAGCACGAUCAACAUCCUAUUACAUUCAGAGUGUGUAAAAUACUCCGAGGUCCCCCGGGCCUAAAGCCCAACCCCACUGUGAAGUGAGCAGGGUCCUCAGAGUCAAAUAGUGCACAGGUGUGUGGAUUUGCAACCGACGUGCACAUGCACCGUUAAGUGCCAGCACAAUCGAUCGACUUGUGUUUCAUUAAUGAUCCUUCCGCAGGUUCACCUACGGAAA
rnacentral:misc_RNA from 1 species